AUAAUGCUUCCUCCGUUUUAAAAAAAAUGUCUUAAAUUUAUUUAGGUAUGAAUGUAUCUAGUCAAAUUUUAGUAUUUAAAUACAUUCAUUUUUAAGCAAAGCUAAAACAUGAAUUUUGGGACGGAGGGAGUCCUGC
rfam:Hordeum vulgare subsp. vulgare, WGS project CAJW01000000 data, contig: morex_contig_42014